AAGUCCGUGCAAUACCUGCCUUUCUAUUUGAAGAUGGGUAAGUCUGUCUCGAUCUUACGCUUAGUUUAAGUAUUCUAUUACUUAAAAAAAAAAAUUACAGAUACACUCUCUCUAUUCUCUCUCUCGUUUUGUCUAUCUUGCAUUUACUUUUUGAGGGCACGGAGGUCUGGAUUAGUAAGAUUGAAACAGACUUGCCCAUUUUCGAGUAGAAAAGUGGGUGCCGUGUGGAGCUUUGGCGAGCAAAAUUGCUAAGUCUGUAAUAGAUUACUGUAUACAGAUGCCUAAACUUUUAAUUCUAACAAUUUAAUUUUCUAAACGGAUCCCUCUUCUUUCUUGAAGUUACUAACUAUACAACUCUUUUAAAAACAUAUGAAAACAAUAAUAAAAUUUAAAU
rnacentral:lncRNA from 1 species